UACGAAGGGGGCUAGCGUUGCUCGGAAUCACUGGGCGUAAAGCGCACGUAGGCGGCUUCUUAAGUCAGGGGUGAAAUCCUGGAGCUCAACUCCAGAACUGCCUUUGAUACUGGGAGGCUCGGGUCCGGGAGAGGUGAGUGGAACUGCGAGUGUAGAGGCGAAAUUCGUAGAUAUUCGCAAGAACACCAGUGGCGAAGGCGGCUCACUGGCCCGGUACUGACGCUGAGGUGCGAAAGCGUGGGGAGCAAACAGG
rnacentral:rRNA from 1 species